AGUCUAUUCUUCAAUUCAAGAUGAAAGCUGUCCUGACUAUUCUCGUUGUGUCCAUGCUGUUAUGUGUUGUAUUGUCAUCAGAAGAAUCUGAUGCACUGCAAUGCACAGGGGAGAAACUGAGUGAUGGACAGCUCUACUUCAGUAUACCGUAUGAAGUUAAGGAGGACAUCAAUGACUGCGAGACCCAGUGGCUUGUUGAUGAGAAAGUGGCAGGGAUUUUUGAUGCUGAAGGAGAAAUGCAGUUCAUAUUCCCAAUUAAAAAUUUGACCGUGAAUGCAGCCAUCUUACAAACGUGCCCUGAAAGACUUGCAUGCCUGCUCAUCUGCCCCAGCGCCAAUAUCAAUAAAAAGCAGCAGUGCUCAUGUGAUGCGUCUCCUCUGACUACGCUUCCUGAAGUGGGUUUUCCCAGCUGGAGUGUUUAUAUUUGGAUUGGAGUGGGUGCAUUUGCAGUGUUGGUGAUUGUCAUUGUCAUCACUGUGCUUUAUCGGAAAAGACAAAGGAGAAGUUACAUCAUUGCAUCUGGGCGUUCUUCAGUCUUCAGUCAUUCACUAUGGUCUUAUCUUUUAUGUAACAAGAUAUAAAACUUUAGAUUUUGUGUUUGUCUUUUUGACUAAACUGAUCAUGACUCUUAACUAACCGAAAUGAAACUAGAUGAUGAAAUAAUGAUAUUAUGUAAUUAUAUAUUAUAGAACUAUAUAUUUAUAUUUAUUUAUACUAUAUAUUUUGUCUGUUAUGUAAACAGGCACAUUUAGUAUGCAUAACUGUACAUAUGUAUAUGCAAGUAAAACUAUAAAUAAAUAACUAAACUGUAAGGUAACUUCA
ensembl:lncRNA